rnacentral:lncRNA from 1 species
AGUCUCCUGCUCAAAACAGGAGCGCAGCAGCCGGAGGGAGUGGGGACAAGCUCGCUGAACACUGGGCGUCUCGACAGGGACCAGAGCCUGCAGGACUGUUCCGAGACGCUGCGGUGGCGGCGGCGCCGGAGGACGCGGAGGACUCCCUGGCCACCCGCCCUCCGUGCGCUCUGCCACCGGGCGCUCAGCAGAGACCCCGGGCUGCGGCUGCACUUGCUGAGUGCCUCUCCCCGCCGCCGCAGCCCAGAGGCGCCCAGCACCUGGAGCUCACUGGAGCUGAGGGUCCGAGCUGAGCGGGCUGUUGUAAAGCCGAAAGGCGAGUCAGUGACUGGGACCUCUGUCCUGGUGGCGACGGAGAGAAACAGUGAGCCCGAGGGGCGCGGGCACAGAACUGUCCAGCUCCGAGAACUGGGGUCCGCCAGCCGGCGGGGAAAGCAGCUGAGCGCGGAGGCGAGUGAGCGGACGCGUCCCGGGGUCUUUGCAGUCCCCGCCGGCCCCAAGGCACCGACUCUCGCUGCGCCAUUCGGCCUUCGCCGCGCUGCCCCACGACCGCUCGCUGCGCGACGCCCGCGCGCCCUGGAAGACGCGGCCGGUGUAGCUUGGGACUGAGCCACGGCCGCCGGGCGCCCCGUCCCGACCUAGCCAAGAGCAGCCAGCUUGAGCCUGGGGCAGGAACCGCAAGCGUGCAACUAGCCUGGAGCUACCCGUCUGGACUCGCAGGCCCUGUGGCUGUUUCCCACAGCUGCUACGGCCUCUCUUGCUCCUUGACACCGAGGAGGACCCCACUAGGAUCCGAGCGUCGUGAACUCACCUGAACUUUGGAAGGUUGGCACUGGGGGGCCGCAUCCCCCUGGGAAAUGACUGAACGCGGGGUUUCAGUGGGUCCCGCCUGGGUCUAAGGACCCAGUUUCUUCUGUGAGCACGGGCAGUGGGAGGCCGGUGGAAAGGCGCAGGGGCCCACCUACGCGUCUCACAUCUUCAGGGGCGCAUUUCUACAAUAAAAACUCACCCAAUUAGACCUAGCGCUGAGAACGUGCUG